AAGAUCAUACUUUCAGGGAUCAUUUCUAUAGUUUUUGACUUGAGAAAUAUCGUACGAAAGUGAUCGGUUACUCUAACCACGAUGAAGAGUAUUGAUGUUCCCUUCUGAGCGCGAAGCGGGCAGCGAGUAAUGAUUAAUUUCAUCCGCUCGUUGUCAUUGAUGACCGUUCCUUGCUCCCUAGUGGAGCCUGGAGGUAGGGAACAUGAUCAGAGUGGU
ensembl:snoRNA U3 Small nucleolar RNA U3